AUCUAUGGCCAUGCCACCCUGAAUAAGACCGAUGUCUGAUCUUGGAAGUUAAGCAGUGUUAGGCCUGAUUAGUACUUGGAUAGGAGACCAAGUGCUGCAGGCA
rnacentral:rRNA from 1 species